UUCGUUUUAGGUUUUAGGUUUUUAGACCUUUAAAGUUUCGGUUAUUAGCUUAUGUAUUUUCGUUUUGCGAUUUUAGGUUUAGACAAUUAAAACUUCUCUAGCAACUUAGGCGAGUUUAGCUUAAGCGAUAAUCAACUUUUUCUAGCAACCUAAACGAGUCAAACAAUCGAGCAAACAAGCAAUCGGAUCAAACAAGCAAUCAAAUCAUACAAGCAAAGCAAUCACUUAAUCAAUCAUCAUUCGUUUUAGGGUUUCUCUUUGCUUAACUUUCAAGUUCAAUUGUUGGUUCUUUAGCUUUAGGGUUUUGAUGUUACCUUUCACCUUAUGGGGUUGUAUGGACUAGAACCGGGAGCUAAAGACCUCGGUAACUCACGCUGCUGCAACGAACCGCAAACAGUACCACGAUAAACAGUACCGCGAUGAACAGUACCGCGAUGAACAGUACCGCGAUGAACAGUGCCGCGAUGAACAGUGUCGGCGAUGAACAGUGUCGGCAAUGAACAGUACGGCGAUGAACAGUACCGAGAUGAACAGUGUCGGCGAUGAACAGUGCCACGAUUUUUAGGGUUAGGGUUUUAGGGUUUUCGUUAAGAGCAAGUCGUGCUGAUAACGUGUUGUAAACUGUGUUGUUCUAUUGAUUAAUGAAUGAGAUUUCGAUACAUAUAUAUACAUGAUGAGGGGAGACAAAUCCCCAUUGGGCUAGUAAACCCUAAAGCCCAAAAGCCCACUAAGUACAAUAUAGGCCGUCAUAAGGAGAAUCUUCAAGAACAUGGGCAUGGGCCUUCUAGGACAUGGACAUGGGCCUUCUAGAAUAUGC
rnacentral:lncRNA from 1 species